AGAGGCUGGCGCGGGCAGGCGCCUCGCCAACCCGGUCAGGUCCGGAAGGAAGCAGCCGCAACGAGCCCCGCCUGGGUCGCUGUCCAGUCUCUCAC
rnacentral:SRP_RNA from 1 species